AAGAAACACAAUCAGCCUCAGUGACAGUCAGGCCCUCGCCACGGCCCGCCACUUGCCUCCUGUCAUUUGAGGAGGAAGACUGACUGGGAAAUCAAGAAGUUAUUGAAAAUAGAGAGCUGCACACGACACUCAACAAACAUGAAGGACAAAAUGGCGCUGCUGCAAUGGCUGUGGCUAUGCUCUAUAAUCUACAGCACACAAGAGGACGACAGACUUCGUGUCUUACAGAAGACACAACACUUGUGGCAAGACUAUGACAGGAUCUUCAAGCAGCUCUCUUCUUAUGGUGUAGCAUUUUGUGAAAUCCUGCUGAGUCCUCAGGGAUAAUGUGGCUGAGCUUUGCAACAGAAGCAUCAUAAGUGCUGCUGUCUCCACUGUACAAAAGGUGUUUCCCACAUCACUGCUGAAGACUAGAAAUGGAGAUGAGAUUUAAGCCACGUAAUUCUGGAAAAGGGGAGAGGGAGGAAAAAAAAAGAAUUAGAAGUCAACCCAGAGUGUCACUAUGGAAGGUAAAUAUGUGAGAGAGAGAGAGAGAGAGAGAGAGAGAGAGAGAGAGAGAGAGAGAGAGAGAGAGAGAGAGAGAGAGAGAGAGAGAGAGAGAUGAAAUGCUGUGGUGAGUGACUGGUUCAUAAACAGACUGUGGGGAACAUCCUGUAGCCUGUGGGACUAUAGCUGUAUUGUGUUGAAUUAUUCACCCUGGUUGCUUGCUGGUUGCCCAGCUAGCCUUUCUGCUACAGAAAGAGUUCAGACUAUAAAAUGUCAGGAUAAGUCCUGACCGAUCUCUGGGUAGGACUUGAGACCACACCACAUACCACACCCCAGAAAACGAAGGCCACAGUCCACCGAGUUACAUACCAUACCUAUUUACUGCUAUGAAUAGGGGCUCCACAUUAAGAAGCUCGCACAUUUGCCUUGCCAUGCCCGGGAAUAAAACCCGUGCCCUUUCAGUUGAGGCGGGCGUGCUGUGUUGUGUGGUGUGUGUGUGUGUGUAAGUAAGGUUUUAUUGGGAUUUUUAUUUAAAGUAUCCAAACAGAUACACAAUACAUACAUAUACCCGGCAUGGUCAGUCAAGUCAAGACUGCUAAACUGUACCUGGUAAAUAAAUUGAUUGUCAAUAUGUCUGCAUACUUUAAAAAUAGCAAUAAAACUUUAGUUACAAACUUACUUACUUACUACAAACACAUACACACACACCACAGGCACAUAGGAUGUACACCACAGUAUAUUUAUAAACCAGUCACUUACCACAGCAUUUCACAAUUCCCUCUUUCUAUUCAGAGAGAGAGAGAGUGCGUAUGUGAGUGAGUGCCUGCAUAUGCAAGUAAGUGUGAGUGUGUAUGAGUGCAAAUGCAUGUGUGUUUGUGUUUGUGUGUGUGUGUGUGUGUGUGUGUGUUUGAUCUGCUGCAGUCUCUGACGAGACAGCCCCUGAACGAGCUCAGAGCU